UUAAAAUAGCUACCGGACACAGU
rnacentral:piRNA from 1 species